rnacentral:rRNA from 1 species
GUGGGGAAUCUUCCGCAAUGGACGAAAGUCUGACGGAGCAACGCCGCGUGAGUGAUGAAGGUCUUCGGAUUGUAAAGCUCUGUUAAUCGGGACGAAAGAGCCUAGUGUGAAUAAUGCUAGGAAGUGACGGUACCGGAAUAGAAAGCCACGGCUAACUACGUGCCAGCAGCCGCGGUAAUACGUAGGUGGCAAGCGUUGUCCGGAAUUAUUUGGCGUAAAGCGCGCGCAGGCGGAUCUGCCAGUCUGUCUUAAAAGUUCGGGGCUUAACCCCGUGAUGGGAUGGAAACUACAGAUCUAGAGUAUCGGAGAGGAAAGUGGAAUUCCUAGUGUAGCGGUGAAAUGCGUAGAUAUUAGUAAGAACACCAGUGGCGAAGGCGACUUUCUGGACGAAAACUGACGCUGAGGCGCGAAAGCCAGGGGAGCGAACGGGAUUAGAAACCCCAGUAGUCC